rnacentral:rRNA from 1 species
CGUGAGGCGGAGCUAAUCCCUUAAAGCCAUUCUCAGUUCGGAUUGUAGGCUGAAACUCGCCUACAUGAAGCUGGAGUUACUAGUAAUCGCAGAUCAGAAUGCUGCGGUGAAUGCGUUCCCGGGUCUUGUACACACCGCCCGUCACACCACGGAAGUUGGGGGCGCCCGAAGCCACUUAGCUAACCCUUUUGGGAAGCGAGUGUCGAAGGUGAAAUCAAUAACUGGGGUGAAGUCGUAACAAGGUACC